UACGUAGGGGGCAAGCGUUAUCCGGAUUUACUGGGUGUAAAGGGAGCGUAGACGGCAUGGCAAGUCUGAAGUGAAAUGCGGGGGCUCAACCCCUGAACUGCUUUGGAAACUGUUAAGCUAGAGUGUCGGAGAGGUAAGUGGAAUUCCUAGUGUAGCGGUGAAAUGCGUAGAUAUUAGGAGGAACACCGGUGGCGAAGGCGGCUUACUGGACGAUGACUGACGUUGAGGCUCGAAAGCGUGGGGAG
rnacentral:rRNA from 1 species